AUUGAACGCUGGCGGCAUGCUUUACACAUGCAAGUCGAACGGUAACAGGCCGCAAGGUGCUGACGAGUGGCGAACGGGUGAGUAAUGCAUCGGAACGUGCCCAGUCGUGGGGGAUAACGCAGCGAAAGCUGCGCUAAUACCGCAUACGAUCUAUGGAUGAAAGCGGGGGACCGAAAGGCCUCGCGCGAUUGGAGCGGCCGAUGUCAGAUUAGGUAGUUGGUGGGGUAAAGGCUCACCAAGCCAACGAUCUGUAGCUGGUCUGAGAGGACGACCAGCCACACUGGGACUGAGACACGGCCCAGACUCCUACGGGAGGCAGCAGUGGGGAAUUUUGGACAAUGGGCGCAAGCCUGAUCCAGCAAUGCAGCGUGCAGGAAGAAGGCCUUCGAGUUGUAAACUGCUUUUGUACGGAACGAAACGGUCUGGGUUAAUACCCUGGGCUAAUGACGGUACCGUAAGAAUAAGCACCGGCUAACUACGUGCCAGCAGCCGCGGUAAUAC
rnacentral:rRNA from 1 species